AUGUUCACUGUUAUAUUCAUGUGUCUGUGGCUUUCACUAGGUGACUCCAUGGCAGAUUCAAUACAGCCACUUUCCCCUCGUGAAGUUGUAGAUGAAGGUGUUAAUGUUACUCUGUCCUGCAACUACAAACCCAGCAGUGCUAUAGCAAACAACUACCUGCACUGGUACAGACAAUAUCCAAAAUCUAAACCUGAGUUCCUUCUUUAUAUUUCUCAACGUGGAGAUCUGAGUCCCAACAGACCCCCAAGAAUGUCUGCUAAAGUUGAUGAUGAUAAUAAACGAGUGGAUCUGCUCAUCUCCUCUGCUGCUGUAUCAGACUCUGCACUAUACUACUGUGCU